rnacentral:rRNA from 1 species
UUGGAGGGCAAGUCUGGUGCCAGCAGCCGCGGUAAUUCCAGCUCCAAUAGCGUAUAUUAAAGUUGUUGCAGUUAAAAAGCUCGUAGUUGAAUUUCGGGAUUAGUACGCUGGUCGUGCCUUCGGUACGUACUGGUGUUACUGAUUUCUACCUUCUGACGAACCAUCAUGUCAUUAGUUUGGUGUGGUGGGGAAUCAGGACUGUUACUUUGAAAAAAUUAGAGUGUUUAAAGCAGGCUCGCGCUUGAAUACAUUAGCAUGGAAUAAUGAAAUAGGACGUUGAUCCUAUUUUGUUGGUUUCUAGGAUCGACGUAAUGAUUAAUAGGGAUAGUUGGGGGCAUUAGUAUUCAAUUGUCAGAGGUGAAAUUCUUGGAUUUAUUGAAGACUAACUACUGCGAAAGCAUUUGCCAAGGAUGUUUUCAUUAAUCAAGAACGAAAGUUAGGGGAUCGAAGACGAUCAGAUACCGUCGUAGUCUUAACCAUAAACUAUGCCGACUAGGGAUCGGAUGAAGUUAAUUUUUUAAUGACUCAUUCGGCGCCUUACGGGAAAC